UAAUUGAAGGNAAUCAAUUAAGUCUAGUAAACACACUAGGUCGAUCAGUCCGAACAGACCGAACGGAAAAGGGAGGACCGAACGGUCCUAAUGACCUUCGAUCUCANAUUCAUAUUUUCUCUAAGUUUCAUACAUACUCAUAUCAGUGCAAAACUCAUAGUUCAUACUAAUCACACAAAUCAUACAACAAUAUACUAUAUUUCAAUCAUAAGAAAUCAAAUAUACAUUAAAUCAGGCAUACAUUCAAACCAUACAGAGAAAUUAAAAUUAAACUUUAUAAGCUUCCCUUACCUUUAAUUCCAGUUAAGACUUGAAAGUAGGUUGAUAUGAACUAUUCUUCUAAGUUUCCCCAAGGUCAGGUGCAAACUCGAAACCGGACGGUUCAAGUGAAAGAGGAGACCACCAGGAGUCUUCAGGUGUGAUCUGAAGGGUGAUCGGAACAGUAGAUUGGUUAGAAUUUUAGAGAGAAGGUAGGGAGGUUUAGAGAGAAGGAGGAGAAUUUGAGAUUUUCAGAAAGUUGAGUUUGAGGAAGAAGAAGAAGAUUGCAUGCAAAAGUGGCGUCAGGUUUCAUUCCUACCUUAUAUACUGCCUCCAAUCCGAACGGUCGGCCAACUCCCAGCGUGACACCUGACUUCCACUCCCUGGGUUUCUUUGCUAUGCUGAUACUGCACGGAUCACGAGGGAAGGGAAAUUAAAGCUUGGCAGAGUUGGUCUCCCACUUACAAGGGAAGACCGGACGGUUUGACAAGUGUCCCCCCACUAAGGAGAGUAUUAAAUGAGGUGUGACAUUCCCCCCAACAAAUAAAAAUU
rnacentral:lncRNA from 1 species